GUAGAAGUGGGGAGCCCAGUGAAUAAGGGCAUUUAAGGACCCAUGGGAUUGACUGGAGGAACACGAAGGAUUUGUGCCCGAAGCUGGUGCCGCAGGUGGCCUGAGCUGCUGCUGGAGCAGGGCCCUGCCAGCCCAGGCCUUUCUGUCCACCCCUCCUCUGAAGACCGUCCUCUCCCAGCCCACGGCCCUGGGUUUGGGGCUGGCAGACAAGCCAGAGCUCACAGAGGGCCCCUUUGGCAACAUCCAUUUGGGAACCCUGAAUAAAUUCUUCAGGAAGAAGAAAACCAUCUUUCCAAGAGGUGGCAGGUUUAGAAGCAUGGGCUAUUGGAGAUGAGGAUGAAAAGCCUUGACAAGAAUUUUACUUGAAUUUCAAACUCCUUGGAAGAAUGACCUAAAACAUUUUUGGGUUAUGUAUGUAUUAUCUUUUUAAGGUCUGAUGCAGAACAAGAAUUGAUGAUGUAAUUGCAUCGCUCUGUCCCCCAGCCCAGCGUUUGGCCUUUGGUGCUGCCCCCUGGCAUGGGGGUAUUUCCCAUUCCACCUCCUGGGAGGACGAACAUCCUCACAGGGGCAUCCGAGAGUCCAGAGCCCCUGGCCUGGGACAGCAAGGCACAGGACAAGCGAGCCUGCAGGCCUUCCCAGGUCCUGUACCUCUGUGGUCACCCUGCCAUCUGAGUGUAAUGGGUCUCAGUCUCGGGGAGCUUAGGCCAGUCCUUCCCACUGUGGGUUGAGUCCAGGACUGGAGGAGAAGACAAUACAAUCAGGUCGAUACUUGUCGGGGUGUGGCUGUGGCUGAGGGCAGAAUCAGUGCCCCAUCAGCCUGGGUCUACAACGUGAACUUCUUUUAUCUUCAGAAGAGCACAAAACUGAUCACCUAAAAUAACAAAGUUAGACAAGAUUUCUAAUGGUUUGCUUGUUUCAUCAUGAGAGGAUGUGACUUAGGCUGUCCUAUUUUCCAGGUGUAUGUGUUGUGAAAUCGAGUGACAGUGAACAGUGCAAGUUACCACUGAGUGUGAACGAUCUCUGUGUUAAAGAGUGUGCACUGAGCAAGCCUUCCUGCUCAGCUGGGCCGCAUGGAUCCCUGAAGUGCCCCGGAGGUGGCUGAGCUGAGCCGGCAGGGCCGCGGCUGUACCGUGCCAUCUCUGUGUGGUGGACGCGGAGCUGAGGGCUGCAGAGAAGAUGCCUCUGGUGAGUUUACAGUUGAUAUUUACACCCAUUCUCUAAAGGUUUCCCUUCUUUUUCUUCAUAAGAAAUUAUCCAGCUGUGACCACGUGUUGAAUGGCAAAACAAGAUCCAGGAGUGGGGUUUAGGGAGAGGAGCUGGUGGUACCCCCUUACAUUUCAAAGCCAUGAACAUCCGUUUCCAGUCCAAGUGCAGACAAAUGAGCCCUUUGAGCUACCGACUGACCAAGCUCAUGGGCCUGAGAUGGGCUUUCAGCGCUGCUGGACUAGACCAGUCUCAUCUGACCCGACAGCUUGUACUGGUUCUGUUUGCUGUCCUCAAAAGAUGGAGCACCUAGCACAGACGUUUGCAUGAAGUAUGUGUAUGCACACGACAUUGUUCAUUAACACAGCACUACCUGAUACCUCGAGCCUGUAGGUCACAAGUGACUGGAAGCUCUCAUAAGGGCAGGUUUUC
ensembl:lncRNA